rnacentral:rRNA from 1 species
GACGAACGCUGGCGGCGUGCCUAAUACAUGCAAGUCGAGCGGACAGAAGGGAGCUUGCUCCUGGAAGUUAGCGGCGGACGUGUGAGUAACACGUGGGCAACCUACCCUGUAGAUCGGGAUAACAUCGAGAAAUCGGUGCUAAUACCGGAUAAUCAUUUGAAGUGCAUGCUUCGAAUGUAAAAGAUGGCUCCGGCUAUCACUACGGGAUGGGCCCGCGGCGCAUUAGCUAGUUGGUAAGGUAAUGGCUUACCAAGGCAACGAUGCGUAGCCGACCUGAGAGGGUGAUCGGCCACACUGGACUGAGACACGGCCCAGACUCCUACGGGAGGCAGCAGUAGGGAAUCUUCCGCAAUGGACGAAAGUCUGACGGAGCAACGCCGCGUGAGUGAUGAAGGUUUUCGGAUCGUAAAGCUCUGUUGUUAGGGAAGAACAAGUGCCGUUUGAAUAAGGCGGCACCUUGACGGUACCUAACCAGAAAGCCACGGCUAACUACGUGCCAGCCGCCGCAGUAACAC